CGGGGCUUAGCUCAGUUUGGCAGAGUGCUCGGUUUGGGACCGAGAGGUCACUGGUUCGAAUCCAGUAGCCCCGACCA
rnacentral:tRNA from 1 species